AAUGAUAUGCCUGAACUAAAAGGGUUAUUUUGAUAGAAUAAAUUAUGCAUUCAUCCAUGCUUUCAUUU
rnacentral:tRNA from 1 species